CUAACCAUUGCCUGCGUUCCUUCUGCUGUCCUGAGAAGGGGGCCAGCCCAGGACUGCUCCUCACCCAGGAUGACAGCAUUAAUUGAACUCCUUCUGGAAAUUCUUAUCGCUUCUUAGCCUCCCCUUCUAACCUUUCUGUUUUCUCUUCCCAGGUUUCUAGAUCCUUUGGGGGGUUUACUUCUCAUUGACAUCUGAUCAUUAUAACUCUCUCUGAUCCUCCCUCAGCAAAAACAUCCAAUUCUACAGAGUUCUAUAGAAAUAAAAUGGGACUGAAUAACCUGUAAUACAAUUGGACCAAGAUGAUUUUAAGCAUUGUUAAACAGGGUUUGAGAGCACACAAUUGGUGAUGUUUGUGUUUGAAACCCUGGCAAUCUGAGGCUCCUUAAUAAAUUGGGUAUAAUUGGAGUUAUUGGGUAUCAGCCUUUUAAAGACUCAAUUCUGAUGGCCAAAUGCCCUUCCAGGUAGACUGGACUCCCGCCAGCUGCUUGAAUGUGCCCACUUCACAUGAUGAUGUUCUUUCAGGCCUGGAGAGCUGCAAUCUUGAUCCAUUGGCCAUCAAAGGCAAAUGCUACAGGGGAAAGAAGGGGGGCUGUCAACAGAAGAAAUUGCAGCCUCAGUAAUUUGUGUGGAAUCAUGAACAAGCAAUGACAGAACCGAAGAAUAGACAACAGUGAUCAGAACAGUAACUAACACUUACUGAGCGCCCAGGAUGGAUUAGACACUGUGCUAAGUCCUCUCCAUGUACUAUCUUCAUUCGUUCUCCUAACAAUUUAAUGAGGUCUGUACAGUUAACAACCUCAGUGCACAAAGAAAAAGCACAUCCAGCUACAAGUAGAGGAGCCAGGAACUGAACCUCGGUGGAUGGACCUGGGAGCUUGUGCUCACCACCAGGAGGUACAACUUAAAUGACAUAAAGCACAGGAAUCUCAAAGAUAAAGCUUGAUGAGUUUUUAUACAUGUAUACAUCUGUGUAGCCACUACCCAGAUCAAGAUAAAGAACACUUUCUGCACCCCUGGGCAGGCUCUGUGCUGUCCCCUCCCAGUCAGUAUCCUCCCCAGAGAUGAAGAAACCAGGGUUCAAAGAGUAUUCACAGCUGCCCCAGGUCACACAGCCAAGCGAGUGGCAGAGCUGGGACUUGAACUCACGUCCGUCAGACUCUACAGCCUGAACCCUGCCUUCCAGGAAGGGGAAGGAGUGAGAAAAGAUAGGAAAAGCUGGAAACAUCUGACCCGUUGCGUCUGCUGGGAGGAAGGAGGCUGCCGGCUGCAGGACAGCGAACAGCAGCGGCAGGGGAAGCUCCAGGCUAUGGUCAUCCAUCUCCUGCUCAGACUGCCUUACUCGAAGGGGAACAGACAGACACA